rnacentral:rRNA from 1 species
AGCAGCCGCGGUAAAUUCCAGCUCCAAUAGCGUAUAUUAAAGUUGUUGCAGUUAAAAAGCUCGUAGUUGAAUUUCGGGGUUAGUAGGUUGGUCAUGCCUCUGGUAUGUACUGGUCUCACUGAUUCCUCCUUCCUGACGAACCGUAAUGCCAUUAAUUUGGUGUUGCGGGAAAUUUGGACUGUUACUUUGAAAAAAUUAGAGUGUUUAAAGCAAGCUAACGCUUGAAUACAUUAGCAUGGAAUAAUGAAAUAGGACGUUCGAUCCUAUUUUGUUGGUUUCUAGGAUUGACGUAAUGAUUAAUAGGGAUAGUUGGGGGCAUUAGUAUUCAAUUGUCAGAGGUGAAAUUCUUGGAUUUAUUGAAGACUAACUACUGCGAAAGCAUUUGCCAAGGAUGUUUUCA